UACGAAGGGGGCUAGCGUUGCUCGGAAUCACUGGGCGUAAAGCGCACGUAGGCGGCUUCUUAAGUCAGGGGUGAAAUCCUGGAGCUCAACUCCAGAACUGCCUUUGAUACUGAGAGGCUCGAGUCCGGGAGAGGUGAGUGGAACUGCGAGUGUAGAGGUGAAAUUCGUAGAUAUUCGCAAGAACACCAGUGGCGAAGGCGGUCUGCUGGGCAGUUGCUGACACUGAUGCGCGACAGCGUGGGGAGCAAACAGG
rnacentral:rRNA from 1 species